UUGUAUGACCUUUUGGCUUUUUAAAAAGGGGUAUGGCUUUUUAUGGAUGAUAGCCGCUAUCUUAGUAGGAAUAUCAAGAAUGUGGGUAGGCGUGCACUAUCCUGCUGAUGUUGCUGCAGGAGCAUUAAUAAGCAUUAUCACAGCAAUUAUUGUUUACUAUGUUGUCCCUAAGAUAAGCUUCAUUCAGAAAUUAUUGAAGCUAUAUGAAAAAGGAGAAGGAUAUAUAUUGCCUUCAAAAUCUAAAUCUAAGAAUUUCUAAAAAUCAGAAACAUAAAAUGACCAGCUAAUAAACAGUUAGCUGGUCAUUUUAUGUUUCUGACACUGGAAAUUAAUCUUUGGAAUUUGCUUUCGCUUGACGGUANUGGACGAAAGUCUGACGGAGCAACGCCGCGUGAGUGAUGAAGGUUUUCGGAUCGUAAAACUCUGUUGUUAGGGAAGAACAAGUACCGUUCGAAUAGGGCGGUACCUUGACGGUACCUAACCAGAAAGCCACGGCUAACUACGUGCCAGCAGCCGCGGUAAUACGUAGGUGGCAAGCGUUGUCCGGAAUUAUUGGGCGUAAAGCGCGCGCAGGCGGUCUUUUAAGUCUGAUGUGAAAGCCCCCGGCUCAACCGGGGAGGGUCAUUGGAAACUGGGAGACUUGAGUGCAGAAGAGGAGAGUGGAAUUCCACGUGUAGCGGUGAAAUGCGUAGAGAUGUGGAGGAACACCAGUGGCGAAGGCGACUCUCUGGUCUGUAACUGACGCUGAGGCGCGAAAGCGUGGGGAGCGAACAGGAUUAGAUACCCUGGUAGUCCACGCCGUAAACGAUGAGUGCUAAGUGUUAGAGGGUUUCCGCCCUUUAGUGCUGCAGCAAACGCAUUAAGCACUCCGCCUGGGGAGUACGGCCGCAAGGCUGAAACUCAAAGGAAUUGACGGGGGCCCGCACAAGCGGUGGAGCAUGUGGUUUAAUUCGAAGCAACGCGAAGAACCUUACCAGGUCUUGACAUCCUCUGACAAUCCUAGAGAUAGGACUUUCCCCUUCGGGGGACAGAGUGACAGGUGGUGCAUGGUUGUCGUCAGCUCGUGUCGUGAGAUGUUGGGUUAAGUCCCGCAACGAGCGCAACCCUUGAUCUUAGUUGCCAGCAUUCAGUUGGGCACUCUAAGGUGACUGCCGGUGACAAACCGGAGGAAGGUGGGGAUGACGUCAAAUCAUCAUGCCCCUUAUGACCUGGGCUACACACGUGCUACAAUGGAUGGUACAAAGGGCUGCAAGACCGCGAGGUUUAGCCAAUCCCAUAAAACCAUUCUCAGUUCGGAUUGCAGGCUGCAACUCGCCUGCAUGAAGCCGGAAUCGCUAGUAAUCGCGGAUCAGCAUGCCGCGGUGAAUACGUUCCCGGGCCUUGUACACACCGCCCGUCACACCACGAGAGUUUGUAACACCCGAAGUCGGUGGGGUAACCGCAAGGAGCCAGCCGCCUAAGGUGGGACAGAUGAUUGGGGUGAAGUCGUAACAAGGUAGCCGUAUCGGAAGGUGC
rnacentral:rRNA from 1 species